GCAAGUCGAACGGCAGCACAGUAAGAGCUUGCUCUUAUGGGUGGCGAGUGGCGGACGGGUGAGGAAUACAUCGGAAUCUACUCUUUCGUGGGGGAUAACGUAGGGAAACUUACGCUAAUACCGCAUACGACCUACGGGUGAAAGCGGAGGACCUUCGGGCUUCGCGCGGUUGAAUGAGCCGAUGUCGGAUUAGCUAGUUGGCGGGGUAAAGGCCCACCAAGGCGACGAUCCGUAGCUGGUCUGAGAGGAUGAUCAGCCACACUGGAACUGAGACACGGUCCAGACUCCUACGGGAGGCAGCAGUGGGGAAUAUUGGACAAUGGGCGCAAGCCUGAUCCAGCCAUGCCGCGUGGGUGAAGAAGGCCUUCGGGUUGUAAAGCCCUUUUGUUGGGAAAGAAAAGCAGUCGGUUAAUACCCGAUUGUUCUGACGGUACCCAAAGAAUAAGCACCGGCUAACUUCGUGCCAGCAGCCGCGGUAAUACGAAGGGUGCAAGCGUUACUCGGAAUUACUGGGCGUAAAGCGUGCGUAGGUGGUGGUUUAAGUCUGUUGUGAAAGCCCUGGGCUCAACCUGGGAAUUGCAGUGGAUACUGGAUCACUAGAGUGUGGUAGAGGGUAGCGGAAUUCCCGGUGUAGCAGUGAAAUGCGUAGAGAUCGGGAGGAACAUCCGUGGCGAAGGCGGCUACCUGGACCAACACUGACACUGAGGCACGAAAGCGUGG
rnacentral:rRNA from 1 species